AAGUCGUAACAAGGUUUCCGUAGGUGAACCUGCGGAAGGAUCAUUAAUGUUUGCGAGCUUGGCGUAAGCUGAGCGAGCAGAGAGAGGGUGUGGUAUUGAUGGGGGAGAGUGGGGUAGUAGUACUCCACUGUCCUUUUCAUUAUACUAUUGCGAUUUUCAAACAAGUAUGAGCAAGUGAUUACGACACACAACUGUCACCGGUGGAUCUCUUGGCUCGU
rnacentral:misc_RNA from 1 species